AGAAAGUGCAUCUAAGUCCGGAUUGGAGUCUGCAACUCGACUCCAUGAAGUCGGAAUCGCUAGUAAUCGCAAAUCAGAAUGUUGCGGUGAAUACGUUCCCGGGCCUUGUACACACCGCCCGUCACACCAUGGGAGUGGGUUGUACCAGAAGUAGAUAGCUUAACCUUCGGGGGGGCGUUUACCACGGUAUGAUUCAUGACUGGGGUGAAGUCGUAACAAGGUAACCGUAGGGGAACCUGCGGUUGGAUCACCUCCUUACCU
rnacentral:rRNA from 1 species